rnacentral:rRNA from 1 species
AUGGAAAUAAGCCUGGUGCUGAUCGUUGUUGUGUUGUGCUCCACUGCUGCUACCCUAGUUACUUGUACUAGCGCGGGGUUCCACAUGGAGCUCACCCAUGUUGAUGGCAAGGGGAGCUACACCACGGCGGAGCGCGUGCAGCGGGCCAUGGCCAGGAGCCGGCAGCGCCUGGCGUCCUUUGCUGACGUGAGUGUGCCGGUCCACUGGAACACCAGCCAGUACAUCGCUGAGUACCUGAUCGGCAACCCACUGCAGCGCGCUGAGGCCAUCGUCGACACAGGCAGUGACCUCAUCUGGACGCAGUGCUCCACCUGCAGCCUCAAAGGAUCUUGCGUCAAGCAGGGUUUUCCCUACUAUAACGCGUCCAACCGGACAGCUUCCAUCCCGUGGCAUGCAACGACACCUUGUGCUUGGCCAACCAGGAGCACUCCUGCGCCAGGGGCGGCGGCUGUGCUUUCGGGGCCUUCUAUGGCGCCGGCGUCGCCAGAGGGUCCAUUGGCACUGAGGUGGGCGCCAAAAAAAUUUCUUACUGUCACACCCCCUAUCUGCGCAGCAACGCCACCGCCGGUGCCAGCAGCCAUCUUUUCGUCGGCGCCUCGGCGAGCCUUAGCGGCGGCAGCCCCGUGA